rnacentral:rRNA from 1 species
GACGAACGCUGGCGGCGUGCCUAAUACAUGCAAGUUGAGCGCUGAAGGUUGGUACUUGUACCAACUGGAUGAGCAGCGAACGGGUGAGUAACGCGUGGGGAAUCUGCCUUUCAGCGGGGGACAACAUUGGGAAACGAAUGCUAAUACCGCAUAAAAACUUUAAACACAAGGUUUAAGUUUGAAAGAUGCAAGUGCAUCACUCAAAGAUGAUCCCGCGUUGUAUUAGCUAGUCGGUGAGGUAACGGCUCACCAAGGCGAUGUUACAGAGCCGACCUGAGAGGGUGAGCGGCCAGAUUGAGACGGUGACACGGCACAAAGGGCUAGGGGAGGCAGCAGGAGGGAAUCGUGGGGAAGCGGCGAAAGUCUUAGCGCGAUGGGCCGCGGGAGGGUAGAACGUUUUCGGAUCGUAAAUCUCUGUUGGUGGAGUAGAACGUUGGUGAGAGUGGAAAGCUCAUUAAGUGACGGUAACUGCUCAGAAAGGGACGGCUAACUACGUG